GGGGGGUAAUUGCGUGACAAACAAGAUGGCGUCAUCCAUGCCAAGAAAGGUUGGCAUUGGACCUUAAAGCCUGCAGCUUUCCAUGGCGUCCUAGACAUUUUGUGAUUUGAUUAUACGCCAAAUGCAGGAUUUUCAACUUUUGGAACAUGGCGAUGAUUGCGAUCACGUUAUUGUCAAGA